CAGUUCUGCUCGACGAGCUGCCCCGCGGCAAGCCCGCCCUCCGAGGUCGCGUCGGGGUUCGAUUCGUUCGUGGAGGAGCGCGAGUUCGGGGACCUCCAGGGAUUGCUUUUCAUGUUCUCCGUUUGCCAUAUAAUCAUACAUCUUAAAGAAGGUCGCAUUUUGAUACCCAAACUUUGAAAAACCUUCGCAUACUUCAGGCAGCUAAGCAGGCUUUAGUGCCAUUUGUGAGGUCCAAAACUAUGCCGACACUGCCAUCAAGACCUCAAUCUUCCUCACCUUCCACGACAUACCUCGUCUUCAGCAUCUAUUCACAAUGAUUCCCCAGUGUACUCCUGUCAUACUCUUCGUCUUUGUUGAUGAUUACUUGGAGGUGGCACAUGCAAGCUCUCAUGUGGAGGAGGCUUCAGAAACCUCCUCAGUUAAUGUCAGUGCUAAUUUAAGCAGUUCCUCUAGAUCAGCCUUGCCUACAAAAGCUCCUGGUUCUGUAGUUGUGCUAGCACGCCCUAUUAGUAAGUCUGAAGGUGGUUUCAAGAAGAGGCUACAGUCAUCUCUCGAGGCACAGAUUCGCUUUCUCAUUAAAAAAUGCCGAACACUCUCGGGAUCCGAAACUAGUCAUGCUGGGUCA